GACGCACUUCCUGCAGAGGCACAGACCUGACGUUGUCGCGGCUGCAGUUACCGCCGCUACCUCACCUACCCAGGCGCAAGGUGGGCCCCGCGGGAGCAGCUCCUGGGCUCGGCCGCGGACGAUUCCAAACCAGAAGUUCAUCUCUGGCCCUCCUGCCCUCUGGCCUUUGGCAGUCAUCAGUUUCUCAGCCAACAUAAGCUACCCAGUCAUCCUAUCCAGAUUUCUGUGUAGAAAACCAACUCCACCCAGGGGAUCCUUGGCCAGAUGACCAGCAGCAACAGCAACACAUUCUGAUAAAAACCACUGGGGGGGCCAAAGCAGAAGACCACGGAAUGGGAGUCUCUACACCUUUGCUUCAGAGUGCAGCUGAGAAGGGGACUUCAGUGGUUUUCUCUAGUCUACCCCAGGGACCACCAGUAAGCUCUUGGGGAAGAAGCAAAGUGUUGAAGGUACAGCAGUCUGGCGCAGAGGAAGUUCUCUCAUUCGUACAAUAAGGAACUUGUUGCUCAGAAUCUGCUGAUGAACAGCCUAGAUAAACACCACCGCAAAGAGAAAAGUCAGUCAGAGGGACCAUUUGAGUGGAUGGAAGACCCAGGCUGAUCAAAAGGACCAUGAGGACCUUCAGAGCCCAAGACAUGAGGGUCCCACUGGUGGGUCAGAAGAAAAAGAAGGUGGAGUGAUGUGAAGACCUUCAGUCCCAGAGCCAGAGCAUGAGCCUUGGGUGGAGGGGCAGGAAGUGCUGUCUCUGCCACUCCAUUCUGACAGAAUCCAUCAUUCAGACUGUCAUAAAAUCUCUUGAUAGUGGUCUUGCCUUGAGUUUCUCCCACUCUCCCCAAACCAUCACACUUGAUAGAUUAAAAACACCAUAAUUUCUAUUUCA